AGGAUGAAAUAGAAGUAGAGCAAGCUGCAUCUUCUGCUGCUCAAGAAAAAAAACCAUUAAAUAUGGAGCUGGAUUGAGGAAAUCAAUCAAUGGCAAGCAGAAGUACUAGAUGCCCAACUGACGGUUGAGCAACUUCAACAAGGAGAUCAGUUGCUCACGGCCCAAAAUGAGAUGUUGAAGAUGGACAAGGCUAAUCUCAAGAGGAAGGUUGCAGAAUUGGAUGAAAAUUUGGGCUAUUGUC